GACUACCGGGGUAUCUAAUCCCGUUUGCUCCCCUGGCUUUCGCUCCUCAGCGUCAGUAUCGGUCCAGGAUGCCGCCUUCGCCACCGGUGUUCCUCCAGAUAUCUACGCAUUUCACCGCUACACCUGGAAUUCCGCAUCCCUCUCCCGAACUCAAGCCAUCCAGUAUCAGACGCAGUUCCCCGGUUAAGCCGAGGGAUUUCACGUAUGACUUAGUUGGCCGCCUACGAGCCCUUUACGCCCAGUAAUUCCGAACAACGCUUGCCCCCCCCGUAUUACCGCGGCUGCUGGCACGGAGUUAGCCGGGGCUUCUUCUCUCGGUACCGUCACUCCCUCAGGAUGUUAGCCCAAGGGCCAUUCGUCUCGAUCGAAAGGAGUUUACAACCCGAAGAUCUUCAUCCUCCACGCGGCGUUGCGUCGUCAGGCUUGCGCCCAUUGCGAAAAAUUCCCCACUGCAGCCACCCGUAGG
rnacentral:rRNA from 1 species